GACGAACGCUGGCGGCGUGCUUAACACAUGCAAGUUGAACGAGGCCCCUCCUUCGGGAGGGUGUCCUAGUGGCGAACGGGUGAGUAACACGUGGGCAACCUGCCCCCGGCUCUGGGAUAACCCCAAGAAAUUGGGGCUAAUACCGGAUAUGACCGCUGACCGCAUGGUCGGUGGUGGAAAGGUUUUUCGGCUGGGGAUGGGCCCGCGGCCUAUCAGCUUGUUGGUGGGGUAGUGGCCUACCAAGGCGACGACGGGUAGCCGGCCUGAGAGGGUGACCGGCCACACUGGGACUGAGACACGGCCCAGACUCCUACGGGAGGCAGCAGUGGGGAAUAUUGCGCAAUGGGCGGAAGCCUGACGCAGCGACGCCGCGUGGGGGAUGACGGCCUUCGGGUUGUAAACCUCUUUCAGCAGGGACGAAGCGAAAGUGACGGUACCUGCAGAAGAAGCACCGGCCAACUACGUGCCAGCCGCCGCCGUAA
rnacentral:rRNA from 1 species